rnacentral:tRNA from 1 species
GGCAAGAUGGCCGAGCGGUCUAAGGCGCUAGGGUCAGGUCACCUGAUCAUGCAUGUUCUUCGGAAUAUUCCUAGUCUCGAAAGGGGCGUGGGUUCGAAUCCCACUCUUGUCA